UGCUUUUCCAGCUGUAACAGGUUUGGAGAAGGCAGCUGUGGAUUCUCUUUAGCUUUUGUUUGAGAGGUUUCUCUCUUCCUGGUCAAGAAGCCACAUGACCCGAAUGUAACUAGGACGGUGUUGUUGAGCACUUGCUUGUGGACCCCUCUGGGGUCUGCAGAUGACUGGCAGGAUGCUGGAGCCUGCAGGUUUUGCUAGUUUCCUACUUGCAUGGAUCCUUUCUUGCCCCAGCUCUGGAUAGGUUCCCAGGCUUCAUUAGAAUUCAUGGACGGUUAUCUGCAAAGACUUCUGGACAAGAAGCACAUCCAGUACUUCCUAAAAGAGCAGAUGGGACCAUAGCAAGAAUCUCUUUGCUGCCCGACACAUGAGAAGCGGCCUGCCCAGCUGGCACUUGCUCUCCUACAACCAGCCUCAACAAGGCAUCGAGCUGCCUGCACCAGUGACAGCAAAGCAGCACCUGCCUGUCUGCAGCUCAGGGAUUUUCUCUCGCCCUCAGUCGUACAGCCUUAGCCUUCCAGGUGGUUUCUAGGGCUGGAAAAAUGGAUCUGUGGCAGUCAUGGUUCCUGGACUUCUAGAAAUGACUAUAUUCCAGGAGAUGCAGAAAUGCUACUGAACAUGGAUGUGCAGCACCACAGAAAACCUAUGUGGGAUCCUGAUCACCAGUGGAAGCCCGGCUCCUUAGAGAGCUAAGAUGGAACAAAGAAAAUUCCCAGGCCCGGGAACCACCAGAGGUACUACCUUAUUUGCUCAAAAGGUAGGUUAUGCCCAUAAGGGGCAGACCACGCAUGGCUCUACCUCUCUCUCUCUCUCUACACACACACACACUCUCUCUCUCUCUCUCUCUCUCCUGCUUUUAUUGUGCCAUUUUGGAUCUGUAGGAACUUGGGCUUGAAGAGCUACAUGAUCUGAAAUUCAGCAUGUAUCAGCUAGUAGGUUUAGGUUAUGUCCCGAGAGGGAUGUGCCUCCAGGUGGCUGUGACCUCACUUUCACAGUUCAUGCAGAGGAAAGUCAUCCUUGUGGUCCUGGGAGAGCUGGUCUGUUGCUGCCCAGGUUUGCCUGCACUGCCAGCAUGGCUCUCACAGCCCCCCAAAUUGUUUUCCUCUGAAAGGUUCAAAUCUUGACUCUGAAACAGACCUCAUAAUGAAACACCUAUGGGAAAAGUCUAUUCUCUGGCCUCUUUCCUGAGCUCAAUAAUGUUUAAUUUUUAAAAGCGGGGGAGGGAGGGAGGGAAAGAAGAAGUCUCUGAUAUUUCUCCAGUGCACUUGGCUCUCAUAGAUGGCCUUGGCCAAAACUCACCACCAGCGAUUGUGCCAGAACACCUGGUUUGAAUUCUGGCUGCCAUGCUGCUUCAUUUAAUGAGAUGGUCCCAACUUACUUUACUAUUUAAAAAGAAUUUGAGGCCAGAUGCAGUGGCUCAUGCUUUUAAUCUCAGCACUUUAGGAGGCCGAGGUGGGCUGAUCAUGAGGUC
rnacentral:lncRNA from 10 species